UCCCUCCAGAUUCCUUAGCCCUCAAACCUAAACAGUGGUCUGAGUGGCUUAAAGGAAAAAGGAGGAAAGUGAACUGAAAUGGACUUGUCUUGCGACAAACAAGUUCACUUCAAACAAUA
ensembl:snoRNA